UGGGGAAUAUUGGACAAUGGGCGAAAGCCUGAUCCAGCCAUGCCGCGUGUGUGAAGAAGGUCUUCGGAUUGUAAAGCACUUUAAGUUGGGAGGAAGGGCAGUAAGCGAAUACCUUGCUGUUUUGACGUUACCGACAGAAUAAGCACCGGCUAACUCUGUGCCAGCAGCCGCGGUAAUACAGAGGGUGCAAGCGUGAAUCGGAAUUACUGGGCGUAAAGCGCGCGUAGGUGGUUCGUUAAGUUGGAUGGGAAAGCCCCGGGCUCAACCUGGGAACUGCAUCCAAAACUGGCGGGCUAGAGUAGGGCAGAGGGUGGUGGAAUUUCCUGUGUAGCGGUGAAAUGCGUAGAUAUAGGAAGGAACGCCAGUGGCGAAGGCGACCACCUGGGCUCAUACUGACACUGAGGUGCGAAAGCGUGGGGAGCAAACAGG
rnacentral:rRNA from 1 species